rnacentral:rRNA from 1 species
UACGGAGGGUGCAAGCGUUGUUCGGAAUUACUGGGCGUAAAGCGCGUGUAGGCGGUCGGGUAAGUCAGAUGUGAAAGCCCCCGGCUUAACCGGGGAACUGCAUUUGAAACUGCCUGGCUCGAGUUCGGGAGAGGAGAGUGGAAUUCCUGGUGUAGAGGUGAAAUUCGUAGAUAUCAGGAGGAACACCGGUGGCGAAGGCGGCUCUCUGGUCCGACACUGACGCUGAGACGCGAAAGCGUGGGGAGCAAACAGG